ensembl:lncRNA
CACGAGACAAAGCUGAAGAAAACUGACUGCCAUUGGACUGAAAAGUGGGAGAGAAGAAAAGGAGCAGAAGAGGACUGAGGCUGCUGUUUUAGUGUGGGGAAUCAAAUUAGGUUAAGGAAUCGGGGGAGACAAACGACUGCCUGGAAGUGGAGGAUUGACACAGUGUCCAGACCACCACAAAAGGGGGAGGAAGACAAGCACUGAGGUAUGCAAGUGUACUGUUAGAAAAAUGGAAAGGUGACACCACACAUGCAGAUAAUAUGCACCAGAGAUAACAAAAAAUCAUACACAAAGUGUUACACAUUAAAAGAGGGCAUUUGUAGAAGGGGUUGACAACACACAGCGUGGUUGCCUAUGGUAACCUGCAAGCAUUUGGGGUUUAGCUGUGCCUGACUAUGACAGAGUUUUUCAUUUAGAUGUUUCUGAAACAAAAUUUGGAGUGAACGGAGUUUUGUUUCAGAAAAAAGGGGGGAAGGUACAUAAAAGGAUACAUAAAAACAGAAAAUGUAUUAACCCGACUAACACACACACACACGAAAUGAAGAUCAAACACAAUUUUAAGUAGGUAAUGCUGUUACCAUCAUCCUGUCUGGUUUAUUGAGUGGGUUGAGAACUGAUACAUAGAUGACUGAAUUAGUAUUAUUUUGGGGAACAUGAUAGCAGGGGUGAACAGAAUCCUGCAGCCAGAGUUUGAAUGAGUGAAACUAGCAGAUUUUUUGUUUUUGUUUUGUUUUUUGUUUUGUUUUUGUUUCUGAAGUAUGGGGGAGGUUUUACCAUGGCACCAAGUUUUAGAUUUGGUGUUUUCUCACCUAUGAGAGAAAGAAUAUUCUGUGACAAGUCCUAAGACCGGGCUUCUGUAUUUUUUAUUUUCUUUUGUUUUUCAGUUUUAUUUGUCAUUUGUCAUUUUAUUUUUAUUUUUGAACAGUGCACUGAUUUCUGUUUGUGAAUUUCUUUUCUUUAAGCAGAUCUGCACGUCGGGAAUUAAAAGUGCUACACGUCGUCGAGAAAAUUGUUGCAAGUGAGUUUCUCCACAUUAAAAUGGGCUCAGGAGAAAGCCACUUAUCUGGGACAAUUAGAAAAUGAGAGUCCCUGCCUAAAAAGGAUUCAGCGAGGUAAUCCGAUCUAAAGUUCUUCUUUUUCUUUUUGAAAUGACGUCAUUUUGCUGAGAGUGGAAACUAAAUGCGACGAUGGGUUCCACUAUCAGCAAAGAAAGAAAGAAUGGAUGAAUGAAUGAAAUGGAA